GCUAAUACCGGAUAAGAAAGCAGAUCGCAUGAUCAGCUUUUAAAAGGCGGCGUAAGCUGUCGCUAUGGGGAUGGGCCCCCGCGGUGCAUUAGCUAGUUGGUAAAGGUAAAAGGGCUUACCAAGGCGAUGAUGCAUAGCCGAGUUGAGAGACUGAUCGGCCACAUUGGGACUGAGACACGGCCCAAACUCCUACGGGAGGCAGCAGUAGGGAAUCUUCCACAAUGGACGCAAGUCUGAUGGAGCAACGCCGCGUGAGUGAAGAAGGUUUUCGGAUCGUAAAGCUCUGUUGUUGGUGAAGAAGGAUAGAGGUAGUAACUGGCCUUUAUUUGACGGUAAUCAACCAGAAAGUCACGGGCUAACUACGUGCCAGCAGCCGCGGUAAAU
rnacentral:rRNA from 1 species